UUAAUUUAUCAGAUGUUGGUGCUCAGAAGUAACUCAAUUAAUGGGACACUGGUUUCGCACUGCAAGCUUCCCAAGCAAAUAAUCCAGUUUAUUCUAAAGUGUGCCAGCAAUUUGAAACAACAAGCAACAUUAUCUGUGGGUUUCCCACUGGUAGCAGAAUGCAGAGCUUAUAAUUGCUGCAAUAUGCCCAGACUGACUGCUGGAGAGCAAAUGAGAAGCUUAAAGUACCUCGUCCACACGAGCCAAGUACGGUAACACAAGAUUGCACUGAAGUUGAGGGAAAACAGCGGAUGGAGGAAAGGAGGAUGUGGACAAUGCUGGCAAUGUUGGUAUUUUUUGUCCAGCUCUAAUCAAUUUGAAUUGAGAAGCUGCUAAGGGACAAACACAUUGACGGGGCUUGAGUCACAAAUGGGUCAGACCUGGCAAGCACGGCAGAUGUCUUUCCCUGUGGGAUAUUUCAGCAAAUGACAUCUCUUUUUAUGACAAUCUGUUAGUUUCAUAGUUAUAGUUUCUGAGAUGAACACUUUCCCCAAUUCAUUAAGAGACCUUAAUCAAACCUGUGCUACAAUAAGACAUUCAAAAACCAAUGGUUAACCUAAGUUUGUAACAAACAUGUUCAUAUACUUGAAGAUGGAAACAUGACCUGCUGUAAUCUUAUUCAUGUUGAUGUAUUUGAAAGAAAUCUUUAAAGCUAUCCCAUAUGCUUAACUGCAUGUAAUCUACUUUAAGAACAUUUGAUUGGAUUUAUUUUAAAAGGCUUGUUUGCUGAUGCCCAUUUUAAUUUUACCUUAAAUAGUAAAACAAAAGUGAGAGUUUUAAAAAAUUUUAUAAUGAUAUAUUUACUUGAUGACAUUCAUUUUGAUUUUUAAGAUAUAGAUUCAGUUCUAUUCUGUUGCAAAUUAAGAGUGGAAUGAAUAAUAUUGAAUAAUUGUGAUUGCCUUUCUAAAGUCAAUGAUGUUUAUAUUUAUGCUACAUCUGAAAUUUUCCUGGUAAAAUGUAUGGUUCUAUAUUUAAU